rnacentral:rRNA from 1 species
GACGGUCUUGCUGUCACUUAUAGAUGGAUCCGCGCUGCAUUAGCUAGUUGGUAAGGUAACGGCUUACCAAGGCAACGAUGCAUAGCCGACCUGAGAGGGUGAUCGGCCACACUGGAACUGAGACACGGUCCAGACUCCUACGGGAGGCAGCAGUAGGGAAUCUUCCGCAAUGGGCGAAAGCCUGACGGAGCAACGCCGCGUGAGUGAUGAAGGUCUUCGGAUCGUAAAACUCUGUUAUUAGGGAAGAACAUAUGUGUAAGUAACUGUGCACAUCUUGACGGUACCUAAUCAGAAAGCCACGGCUAACUACGUGCCAGCAGCCGCGGUAAUACGUAGGUGGCAAGCGUUAUCCGGAAUUAUUGGGCGUAAAGCGCGCGUAGGCGGUUUUUUAAGUCUGAUGUGAAAGCCCACGGCUCAACCGUGGAGGGUCAUUGGAAACUGGAAAACUUGAGUGCAGAAGAGGAAAGUGGAAUUCCAUGUGUAGCGGUGAAAUGCGCAGAGAUAUGGAGGAACACCAGUGGCGAAGGCGACUUUCUGGUCUGUAACUGACGCUGAUGUGCGAAAGCGUGGGGAUCAAACAGGAUUAGAUACCCUGGUAGUCCACGCCGUAAACGAUGAGUGCUAAGUGUUAGGGGGUUUCCGCCCCUUAGU